rfam:Schistosoma haematobium scaffold410_5, whole genome shotgun sequence.
GCACUGAUGAGGUGUCCCACCAUAGGACGAAACGGCUGUCCAAUGC